ACACCGAAAUCAUAUAAUCCAAUGAGCAAAUUUUCAAAUCUUUAAGCAAAUGGGCAAACUAUUUAUGCAUAGGACCAUUUGGAUCACAUGCCAAAAGAAUCAUUUUUCUUUUCAAGCAUAUGCACUUAUAAUGCAUUCUUUUGAAAUUCAUAUUUCACAUAAAUGCUUUUGUUCAAGUAUUUUGUCAUCAUCAAAAAGGG
rnacentral:lncRNA from 1 species